rnacentral:rRNA from 1 species
UUCCGCUGGCGGCAGGCCUAACCAUGCAAGUCGAGCGGAUGAAGGGAGCUUGCUCCUGGAUUCAGCGGCGGACGGGUGAGUAAUGCCUAGGAAUCUGCCUGGUAGUGGGGGAUAACGUCCGGAAACGGGCGCUAAUACCGCAUACGUCCUGAGGGAGAAAGUGGGGGAUCUUCGGACCUCACGCUAUCAGAUGAGCCUAGGUCGGAUUAGCUAGUUGGUGGGGUAAAGGCCUACCAAGGCGACGAUCCGUAACUGGUCUGAGAGGAUGAUCAGUCACACUGGAACUGAGACACGGUCCAGACUCCUACGGGAGGCAGCAGUGGGGAAUAUUGGACAAUGGGCGAAAGCCUGAUCCAGCCAUGCCGCGUGUGUGAAGAAGGUCUUCGGAUUGUAAAGCACUUUAAGUUGGGAGGAAGGGCAGUAAGUUAAUACCUUGCUGUUUUGACGUUACCAACAGAAUAAGCACCGGCUAACUUCGUGCCAGCAGCCGCGGUUAAUA